rnacentral:rRNA from 1 species
CAGUCGCCGCGGGAAUGCGUAGGUGGCAAGCGUUAUCCGGAAUUAUUGGGCGUAAAGCGCGCGUAGGCGGUUUUUUAAGUCUGAUGUGAAAGCCCACGGCUCAACCGUGGAGGGUCAUUGGAAACUGGGAAACUUGAGUGCAGAAGAGGAGAGUGGAAUUCCACGUGUAGCGGUGAAAUGCGUAGAGAUGUGGAGGAACACCAGUGGCGAAGGCGACUCUCUGGUCUGUAACUGACGCUGAGGAGCGAAAGCGUGGGGAGCGAACAGGAUUAGAUACCCGAGUAGUCCCUGUCUCUUAUAC